rnacentral:piRNA from 1 species
UUCGAGAGUUCUGACGCACCAAGUAACGC